UGUGAGGUCAGACCAGGAAGACAGAGGCCAAACCCAGCAUCACACUUUGACCUGCCCGGGAACACAGUGGCUCCUGGGAAAUAACCACUAAAGUCUUGAAAUGUCUUGAGUGAUUGGAGGACCUUUAUUUUUCACGCCUGAUGCCUUAUGCUGAUGAGAUGACUCAGCAGGGGAUGGCCAGGCCAGAAAGACCAAAACUGUAUCCUGAGGUUUGAGUUUCUGAGCCAGGUGAUGUCAUCCUCCAGCUUGGCCGGCCUCUUUCUGGGAGCCUCUGGUGUGAAAGAGAGCAGUGCUUGCCUUUCCCAUGUCUAGGAGUUUGCCUAAAUCUUCAAAGAUAUGUGAGGCUUGCCUAGAACAUCAUCAUCAGGAAUGCUGGUCCUUCAAUUUGUUUUUUGAAUUGAAGUGUAGUUUACAGUGAUCAAGUUGAAAAUAAGGCUCUGCAUGAAAGCUAACUAUUAAAAGGGUGUGGGCACAGGAGCAACCAACACAGACCCCACAGAAUCCCAAACCUAUGCUAAGAGGGAGCACUUCCAUCCCUCCAAACCUGUGCUAAGAGGGACACCUCCAUCCUUCUAAGCCUGUGCUAAGAGGGAACACCUCCAUCCUUCCAAACCUGUGAUAGGAGGGAGCAUCUCCAUCCUUCUGAACCUGUGCUAAGAGGAAACACCUCCAUCCUUCCAAACCUGUGAUAGGAGGGAGCACCUCCAUCCUUCCGAACCUGUGCUAAGAGGGACACCUCCAUCCUUCCAAGCCUGUGCUAAGAGGGAGCACCUCCAUCCUUCCAAACCUGUGAUAGGAGGGAGCACCUCCAUCCUUCCAAGCCUGUGCUAAGAGGGAGCACCUCCAUCCUUCCAAACCUGUGAUAGGAGGGAGCACCUCCAUCCUUCCGAACCUGUGCUAAGAGGGACACCUCCAUCCUUCCAAGCCUGUGCUAAGAAGGAGCACCUCCAUCCUUCCAUCUGGCAACCCCACAUCUUUCUGUGCAGCAUUGGCUCAUGGAGUUUUGCACAAUCUGUUGCCUUAAUGCAGCUGUGAGGUGGUAAACCCCAUGCCAUUGCACAGCUGUGCUGGUGGAGUCUUCAACAACAGAGGGAUGAAACGAGAGUGCUGAGUGAUGGGUGGAGUGUGCUCACAGAAGCCAGCUGUGCUUGCCCCACUCCCACCCAAAAUGUUUACCCACGUGGGAAAUGCCUGCCCUGCAUAGGAGUACCCAAGGAACCCAGGAUAUAAAGAAACUUCUAAAAUGGAUCUGAAAGGGGGAAGAGCCCUCCCCUGUAAGGAAGCGAGAGAGGUAGGAAUUAAGUGCCUUAUACAGGCAGUGUCUACACUUGCACAUUUUUGCUAUUUAAUUUGUUGGGUCAGAUUUCAUCAUAAAAGUAAGGAGGUAUUUAAUUCUCAAUUUGCAAUAAAAUAUAAAAGUUAA
ensembl:lncRNA LINC02411 long intergenic non-protein coding RNA 2411